rnacentral:rRNA from 1 species
AUACGUAGGGUGCGAGCGUUGUCCGGAAUUACUGGGCGUAAAGAGCUCGUAGGUGGUUUGUCGCGUCGUCUGUGAAAUUCCGGGGCUUAACUCCGGGCGUGCAGGCGAUACGGGCAUAACUUGAGUACUGUAGGGGAGACUGGAAUUCCUGGUGUAGCGGUGAAAUGCGCAGAUAUCAGGAGGAACACCGGUGGCGAAGGCGGGUCUCUGGGCAGUAACUGACGCUGAGGAGCGAAAGCAUGGGUAGCGAACAGGAUUAGAUACCCUGGUAGGCCAUGCCGUAAACGGUGGGCGCUAGGUGUAGGGGUCUUCCACGACUUCUGUGCCGUAGCUAACGCAUUAAGCGCCCCGCCUGGGGAGUACGGCCGCAAGGCUAAAACUCAAAUGAAUUGACGGGG